rnacentral:rRNA from 1 species
AUUCCCCUAGUAACGGCGAGUGAAGAGGGAAGAGCCCAAGAUUGAAAGCUGGCGUCUUCGGCGUCCGCAUUGUAAUCUCAAGAAGUGUUUUCCGCUUUGGACCAUGCCUAAGUCCCUUGGAAAAGGGCAUCAUAGAGGGUGAUAAUCCCGUACAUGGCAUGGAGCGCCCGAAGCUUUGUGAUACGCUUUCUAAGAGUCGAGUUGUUUGGGAAUGCAGCUCAAAAUGGGUGGUAAAUGCCAUCUAAGGCUAAAUAUUGGGGAGAGACCGAUAGCGAACAAGUACAGUGAUGGAAAGAUGAAAAGAACUUUGAAAAGAGAGUUAAACAGUACGUGAAAUUGCCAAAAGGGAAGGGUAGGAGGUCAGAGAUGCGGCCUAGGAUUCAGCCUUGCUUUUGCUUGGUGUUUUUCCUAGGUUGCAGGCCAACGUCGGUUUUGGGCACUGGAGAAGGGUGGAAGGAAUGUGGCACCUCUCGGGGUGUGUUAUAGCCUUCUACUGGAUACAGCGACCGAGACCGAGGACAGCAGCGUACUCGCAAGAGCGGGCCUUCGGGCACCUUUACGCUUAGGGCGUUGGCAUAAUGGCCCUCUACCACCCGUCUUGAAACACGGACCAAGGAGUCUAACAUGUAUGCGAGUCUUUGGGUGGCAAACCCAUAGGCGCAAUGAAAGUGAAUUCAGGUGGGAUCCGCAAGGUGCACCAUCGACCGAUCCUCACGUCUUUUUAAGUCGUGGAUUUGAGUAAGAGCAUACCUGUUGGGACCCGAAAGAUGGUGAACUAUGCCUGAAUAGGGUGAAGCCAGAGGAAACUCUGGUGGAGGCUCGUAGCGGUUCUGACGUGCAAAUCGAUCGUCAAAUUUGGGUAUAGGGGCGAAAGACUAAUCGAACCAUCUAGUAGCUGGUUCCUGCCGAAGUU